rnacentral:rRNA from 1 species
UACGAAGGGGGCUAGCGUUGUUCGGAAUUACUGGGCGUAAAGCGCACGUAGGCGGAUAUUUAAGUCAGGGGUGAAAUCCUGGAGCUCAACUCCAGAACUGCCUUUGAUACUGGCGAGCUUGAGUUCGGGAGAGGUGAGUGGAACUGCGAGUGUAGAGGUGAAAUUCGUAGAUAUUCGCAAGAACACCAGUGGCGAAGGCGGCUCACUGGCCCGAUACUGACGCUGAGGUGCGAAAGCGUGGGGAGCAAACAGGG